rnacentral:tRNA from 1 species
AAAUAAGAAGCAAUACAGCAAUUAGUUUCGACCUAAUUCAUGGUAAUAAAACUACCCUUAUUUA